CAAUCCUCCAUUUCUCUCCACCUUUUUGUCAUCAAUCAAAAAGAUAUUACACAAAAAGUCAUACAGCAUAUUAAAAAAAAAUUUGUUAAUUGCAUAAAUAGGUAUCUUUACAUGGGUAUCAAGUAAAAUAAAUGUACUGUAUACAAAAAGAAGUUAAUUAUAGUGCGCCAAGAUACAAUCAUAAAGACAUAAUAGAAAUAUUGUAAAAUAUAAUAAAAUAAAGUAAAAUACAAAGUGAGCCACCUAGAGGCACUAAGAGACCCUAUACCUAG
rnacentral:lncRNA from 1 species